UACAGAGACUGCAAGCGUUAUUCGGAUUCCCUGGGCGUAAAGGGUGCGCAGGCGGCCGUGUGUGUGAGGCGUGAAAGCCCGGGGCUCAACCCCGGAAUUGCACCUCAAACUACAUGGCUAGAGCAUUGGAGAGGGUAGCGGAAUUCACGGUGUAGCAGUGAAAUGCGUAGAUAUCGGGAGGAACACCUGUGGCGAAAGCGGCUCACUGGACCAUUACUGACGCUGAUGCUCGAAAGCUAGGGGAGCAAACAGG
rnacentral:rRNA from 1 species